rnacentral:rRNA from 1 species
CCUACGGGAGGCAGCAGUGGGGAAUAUUGCACAAUGGGCGCAAGCCUGAUGCAGCAACGCCGCGUGAGGGACGACGGCCUUCGGGUUGUAAACCUCUUUUAGUAGGGAAGAAGCGAAAGUGACGGUACCUGCAGAAAAAGCACCGGCUAACUACGUGCCAGCAGCCGCGGUAAUACGUAGGGUGCAAGCGUUAUCCGGAAUUAUUGGGCGUAAAGAGCUCGUAGGCGGUUUGUCGCGUCUGCUGUGAAAAACUGGAGGCUCAACCUCCAGCCUGCAGUGGGUACGGGCAAACUAGAGUGCGGUAGGGGAGAUUGGAAUUCCUGGUGUAGCGGUGGAAUGCGCAGAUAUCAGGAGGAACACCGAUGGCGAAGGCAGAUCUCUGGGCCGUAACUGACGCUGAGGAGCGAAAGCAUGGGGAGCGAACAGGAUUAGAUACCCUGGUAGUCCAUGCCGUAAACGUUGGGCGCUAGAUGUGGGGACCAUUCCACGGUUUCCGUGUCGCAGCUAACGCAUUAAGCGCCCGCCUGGGAGUACGGCCGCAAGGCUAAACUAACAAAGGAAAUUGACGGCGNGAGAGNGCGACGACGACGACGAGGAGGAGG